AUGGCAAUUGUCUCGAACGGGGAGAGAGCUCUUCAGGUUCAGCGGCGCCUAGUUGGGCACGACCUGCGACUUACGUACCAUUGUGACAUGACAAACAUAUGGCGUCAGAAUCAACAACUUGUGAGAGAGGGCUCGUGUCUCACCAUGAACAUCUCACCGGCCAGGAAGGUGAAGGUCGCCCGAUCGGGCGGCAUGCCAAGCUAUGCCCCGUACCAGGCAUGCAUCUCAAGGCCCUCCUCCUUGUGCUGCACAAAUCGUUGUAAUCAUGCAAUCAUUGCAGUGCAGCUGCAUGGACAAGCCGCUCUUCGUGUCCGGCAAGACCCGCGGCUGCGGGAUAGCCGCGCACGUGGGCAAGCACGCCAGGUGCACGUCAAUGUGCUCCUCCUGGACGCAGUCACCGCAUCCUGGCAUACCGAGCUCUAG
rnacentral:rRNA from 1 species